AGUCGAACGGCAGCACGGGAGCAAUCCUGGUGGCGAGUGGCGAACGGGUGAGUAAUAUAUCGGAACGUGCCCAAUCGUGGGGGAUAACGCAGCGAAAGUUGUGCUAAUACCGCAUACGUCCUGAGGGAGAAAGCGGGGGACCGCAAGGCCUCGCGCGAUGAGAGCGGCCGAUGUCAGAUUAGCUAGUUGGUGAGGUAAAGGCUCACCAAGGCGACGAUCUGUAGCGGGUCUGAGAGGAUGAUCCGCCACACUGGGACUGAGACACGGCCCAGACUCCUACGGGAGGCAGCAGUGGGGAAUUUUGGACAAUGGGGGAAACCCUGAUCCAGCCAUGCCGCGUGAGUGAAGAAGGCCUUCGGGUUGUAAAGCUCUUUCAGACGGAAAGAAAUCGGGCGCGUGAAUAGCGUGCCUGGAUGACGGUACUGUCAGAAGAAGCACCGGCUAACUACGUGCCAGCAGCCGCGGUAAU
rnacentral:rRNA from 1 species